rnacentral:rRNA from 1 species
CAGUGGAGCCACAGCCCAUCAUUCACAGCCAAGCCCAAUGUCUGAUCUCAGAAGCUAAGCAGAGUUGCGCUUGGUUAGUACUUGGAUGGGAGACCACCUAGAAAGACCAGGUGCUGUAGGCA